GAUGAACGCUGGCGGCGUGCCUAAUACAUGCAAGUCGAGCGAACAGAUGAGGAGCUUGCUCCUCUGACGUUAGCGGCGGACGGGUGAGUAACACGUGGAUAACCUACCUAUAAGACUGGGAUAACUUCGGGAAACCGGAGCUAAUACCGGAUAAUAUAUUGAACCGCAUGGUUCAAUAGUGAAAGACGGUUUUGCUGUCACUUAUAGAUGGAUCCGCGCCGCAUUAGCUAGUUGGUAAGGUAACGGCUUACCAAGGCAACGAUGCGUAGCCGACCUGAGAGGGUGAUCGGCCACACUGGAACUGAGACACGGUCCAGACUCCUACGGGAGGCAGCAGUAGGGAAUCUUCCGCAAUGGGCGAAAGCUUGACGGAGCAACGCCGCGUGAGUGAUGAAGGUCUUCGGAUCGUAAAACUCUGUUAUUAGGGAAGAACAAAUGUGUAGGUAACUAUGCACGUCUUGACGGUACCUAAUCAGAAAGCCACGGCUAACUACGUG
rnacentral:rRNA from 1 species